GCGCCCGUAGCUCAGCUGGAUAGAGCAUCAGUUUCCUAAACUGGGGGUCGUGAGUUCAAAUCUCGCCGGGCGCA
rnacentral:tRNA from 3 species